rnacentral:lncRNA from 1 species
UUUAUUUUGGUAAUUUUAUGUUUAACCGCUAAAACAAUUGCUAAUUUGCCAGUCAAAAAUGUCUCGCAAACAAAUCCGCCUUAAAAAGUUUAACCAGUCGUGCAAACCACUGAAUAAAGUUCAAAACCGCAAUCAUCCGCUUCCGCAAACUCCCGCACUCGCAACCGCAAUUGCUGCCUUUAAACCAGUCAAGCCCUAAGAUAUUUUAUCACAUCAUCAUAUAAUAACCAAUCAAAAAAUGACAUGUAAUUAAAAAUGAGGUUAAAAAAUUUUUUUGCAGCUUAAACUCAUUCUGGAGAUGACAUGUAAGCAAAACAUUAUAGAGCCAACACCUAAGAAAAUCACUAUUCAAAUAAGCGACAUUCCAUUAGUUAGAAAUGAUUUUUUUUUUUACCAACAUUUCAUUAGUUAGAUAUAUAGAUUCUUUUUUUUUUACUUCUUUGUUAGAUUUUUUUUAUUUCAGUUUAAUAAAAUUUUAAAAACGGUUUGAUUUGAUAGUGAAAUUAAGCAUUAAACCAUAAUAAUUUAUAGCGGUUUGUUUAAGUUAUUUUAACACAUCACCACAUAAGAACCAAUCAAAAAAUGACACGUAAUAACAAAAUAGGGUAAAAAUAACUUUUUGCAGCCGAAACUCAUUCUGGCAAUGACACGUAAGCGAAACAAUUGUGAAACUUGUUGUGAGCACAACACAUCAGCAAAUCACUACACAAAUAAGUAUAUAGAUCAUUAGAAGUAAAUUUACGAAGUAUUUGCUAAAAAUGACCUAAACAUUGAUUUUGAAUACAAAAGUAGACCUCUGGUACAACAUUUGGUAAAAAUAACUUAAAAUAAUAAUAAAAAUACAAUAUAAUCUUGUAGAACCAAACAAAAAAACGGAUGUCCUAAAUACGGUUUAAACCAUGAUCUAUUCUCUGUAUUUUCCUUUACAGUUUUAUUGUUUUAUCAACCUGCACCAUGGUUGGUUUGAUUUCUAUGCUUGUGUUUAAGAUGCUGAAUUGUUUAUUUGGUGGCAAGAAUGUUAGAUUAAGCUGUAUUGGUUCAUGGUUGUUAAUAUUUCCAGAGUUUUUAGUUUCAUACUUGUAUCUCUAUUCUUGAUGCAAGAAAUUAUGUUCUUAACACUUCUCAUAUUUAUUUGCCUUGUUUGAUCAUGAUUUGCUCGUUUCAUCAAGUUCCAAUUUUGAUUAUAGAUAUGUUCCCAUUAUCCUGUAUCUCUCUGUUUUGAUGACCAAGAAAUAUUUUCGAACAAUAUUAUUUUACCUACAUAUCUGGAUUUUUUUGUUUAUUUUAUUAUCCUGUAUCUUGAUUUAUUUACUGACCGAACACACCUGUUUUUAUUUGCCACUGGGUUAGUCCUGAAGAAAUUGUUUGAUGAUGGGGUUGUUAAGCGUGAGGAAAGGUUCAUGUAACAUCCCAAUCCGGGGUCUCCUGAGAUAAUCAGAAUUGGACAUGUUAAGUCGAUGGUCUAACCUCAUUUGUUUAGCCACCCGGUUGGUCCAGUGGAAGCAUAGGCCUGCCAGGACCGAAAACGCUCGUGUAGCAACAAUCCUGUUAGACAUUAGAUCCAGUUCUAACCUAAAAAGGAGAUUGAGGGGUGAGUAAUUAGGGAAUUACUCAGUGAGUGAACCUUGAGAGGCUCAUAUCACUUCCAGCAUAAUAUGACAUAGAGAUCAAGAGAAGUCUAUUUUUAAAACAAGCUCAAGCACACUCCUAUCUUCUAUACAUCAGACACAAGCAAGCAAACAAACCGGUUCACUAAGUCCAUUUUAUCCGUCAAUUCACCUUAGCUCAUCAUCAUGUUCAAGACAUGGCAAACUCUCAUCAUGUUCAAGACAUGGAAAACUCCUUCAUGCUCAAGGCAUAGCAAACCCCUGCCAAUUCAUUUCAUGUCUCGGGCAUGGUAAUAUUCAUCUUUUAAGUUCUCAAACAAACACUUUAAUUUCUAAAUAAGAGCAAAACUCUACAGAGGAUGCACCUUAUCUUGCCUUCCUCCCAGAAUAUGGGGAUAAGUCUGCACCCAUGAUAUGCUGAACCUGACAUAUCACCGUUAGUCACACAGACAAUGUGUGGUUCGCCACAACCAUCUAGCGAUCAGUCCCUUGGUUCAAUAGGCACCAAACAACCACCCACCUAAGAAAUCUCAAACCACAGGAAAGCCUGUGUCGAGUACCUAACUCGAUCUACCAACAAUCAACAAGGUUGCCUAUCAAUCAAUCUACAAUUUUAGGUUUCAGGCCAAUCAACACACAAUCAUCAAUCAAUAACUUCUUCUAACAACUUCUAGCAACCUAAUCCUCAUCAAACAAGGACCAGAAAUCAGAUCACAAACAACAAGCAUCAAUAAAUCAAUCAAACACACAAAGCAGGGUUUAAAAACAAACUAGACUACACCCUAGAUCACAGUAUGCAGGAGUUUUUUUUUUUUUGAAUAAUAUGUUAAAUUUUAUUCAAGAAAAAAAAAUACAUGUUCUUUACAACUGUUUGAGCACUAGUUCUUUAGCAAUAAUACAUGAACAACUUAUGAUUGUGAGGAGAUACGAGGGUCUUCUCUUACACUGAACCAAAUUUGGAUAGAAAACAAUCCUCACGUGGGCUCUGCUGGAGGAAGAGGCUCAGAAAUCUGGUUAAGGAUCUCAUCAUAUGAGGAGGAAUCAGGAGAAGGAGGUCUCGGUGGUGUCUCCAUCUCGACGAUCUGGUCUGCGGUGGCUUGGAGGCUUCGCGGCAAGGAAGACGACAGCGAGGAAGCUUCACGGUGGGGAGAAGCAGCGGCUCAGCGAGGAGAGAGAGAGCGCUCGACGAGGGAGAGAGAAGAAGAAAGAGAAGGCUGGGGGCGCAGGAGAAGAGAGAAAAGGAGGCAGAGAUUUAGUUUUGUGUUUAGGGUUAGGGAAAAGAGAUUAAGAUGGGUAUUUAUAGGGAGGAGAUUAUAGUUGGUUCAAAUAAAAGAGGAAAACCAAUUGGGAAAAGGAAAUUAAACCAAAACCCAAUGCGUUUGGGUUUCACAGUUCAUCACAUCCAAACUCUGGUAUUCUGCAGUCAUCAUGAUUUGGUUUUUUUCUCGCUGUAGAAAAUUGUUAGUUAUUUCAGAAGUAUGCUUGCAUUUUUGUUGUUUUGAUAAGUCUUU